GCCAACGUCGCAUAAUCUGGUAUUGCGCUCGCCUCGAAAGUGAGUUCCUUCAGGAGUUGCAGGUUCGAAUCCUGCCGUUGGCG
rnacentral:tRNA from 1 species